UGUCUGCCUCCUGGAUGAUAUUCAUUCCCCCGGGAUUGUUAGAAGAGAGCAAGAGAUGUAACAAAGAUUUCCUGUGUCUAAUUAAAGGAAGCUGCCAGCUGCAAAACAGAAAGAAUCCCCUUUGCUCGUGCAAACCGUACAGCUUCUGAAAUUCUCAUCCCACAGAGAGCAGAGGCCCCAGUUCCAUUCUCCUUCUAGCUUGACCUUCAGGACUAAAGAGGGAAAGAUAAAGCAGAAAGCAGGCUCCUGACAGGAUCCUGGAGCUGCAUUUGAAGAUUCAAGUAGAAGAAUUAUAGAAAGCUGAGAGAUUCCAAAACUGCA